UACAGAGGGUGCGAGCGUUGUCCGGAAUCACUGGGCGUAAAGGGCGCGUAGGUGGUGGCUUAAGCGUGCGGUGAAAGCUCGGGGCUCAACUCCGAGUCGGCCGUGCGAACUGGGCUCACUGGAGCAUAGUAGAGGCAGGUGGAAUUCCGGGUGUAGCGGUGGAAUGCGUAGAGAUCCGGAAGAACACCGGUGGCGAAGGCGGCUCUCUGGGACGGUACUGACGCUGAGACGCGAAAGCGUGGGGAGCGAACAGG
rnacentral:rRNA from 1 species